rnacentral:rRNA from 1 species
AGCGAACGCUGGCGGCAGGCCUAACACAUGCAAGUCGAGCGCCGUAGCAAUACGGAGCGGCAGACGGGAGAGUAACACGUGGGAACGUACCCUUCAGUACGGAACAACCAAGGGAAACUUUGGCUAAUACCGUAUACGUCCGUAAGGAGAAAGAUUUAUCGCUGAAGGAUCGGCCCGCGUCUGAUUAGCUAGUUGGUGAGGUAACGGCUCACCAAGGCGACGAUCAGUAGCUGGUCUGAGAGGAUGAUCAGCCUCACUGGGACUGAGACACGGCCCAGACUCCUACGGGAGGCAGCAGUGGGGAAUAUUGGACAAUGGGCGCAAGCCUGAUCCAGCCAUGCCGCGUGGGUGAUGAAGGCCCUAGGGUUGUAAAGCCCUUUCGGCGGGGAAGAUAAUGACGGUACCCGCAGAAGAAGCCCCGGCUAACUUCGUGCCAGCAGCCGCCUAA